GGUAUGCCUUGACCGCGUGUGCGAUUUUCACAGAGUAUUUUGGGCGAGCAGUGAACAGUGAUGGAAUUUAAUAUCUCCGUUGGGAGCGAGUUAGAAGUGAAAAUCUAUGACGUAUUAAUGACGUCAUAUGUACUAUUGGAACGCUUCGAAGUGCCAAGUGGACCGGAUAAAACGACGUUCCAAACAAUUCGGAGCAUUUGUAGCGCUAAGUGGACCGCACUCAUUAAGGUCCAUCUACAAUGGAGUAAGACUGCACGAAAAGGAACCAAUCACAGAUGAUGCUGGUAAUAAGACAAGGCGUGCGAAAAAUAUAUUUGCCGAUGACUGUGUCAACAUACAUUGUACAAGUGCAUUUUGUGCAAUAUAAUUUGUAAAUGAUAUAUGAAUAAAUGAAUGAUGAAUAUUGUGUGGCAUUGAUGAUAUUGAAGAAUAUGAAGAUGUUGGAGUCAAAUUACAAUUAAAUAUUAAAAAGAACUUAUUGACAUUGUUAAAAUUAAUCCUUCGUGAGACAAACGACAAAAGACAUAUUCUGGCAAGAAAUUUAAUAAAAAACUUGCAUGGGCUUCUGUGGCUGCAAUGCUCGGAGAUAUGUCUGAUCCAGAUGCUGAAAAGGAACUUUAUAAGAUACGACAGACGGAAAGGAACGACGAAAAGUUAUUACCUUAAAAUGUUAUCCUUAAAGUUAUCCUUAAAAGGAAAAUCUGGGUGCACAACCCAUAUAUGUUCCUAAAUGGCAAUUGAAAUAUGUGAUAGUUUUCUUUCGUAUAGUUAUUAUAUCAUAUCAUAUCUCAAAAAUAUGUUGAUUAUCUAUCUCAAGUAUGAUGUCAAAACAUUAUCAUUCAGAGCAAUAUUAUAAAUUAUAUAUUAUUGUUGACAGAAGUAACAGUAAUUAUAUGAAGACUACAUCUUUAAAAUCAAAUCAAUGUAGUCAACCGCACAAUUUCAAAUAUUUGUGUCACAAAUUAUGAAACUCACAAUUAUAUUACAACUACACAGACGCUAACUGUGCACUAGAUUUGUAUGCAUCAUUAUCUAGUAUGUGUUGCAUUAUGUGAUGAAUAAUAUAAAAAAUAUGC
rnacentral:lncRNA from 1 species